GAUGAACGCUGGCGGCGUGCCUAAUACAUGCAAGUCGAGCGAACAGACGAGGAGCUUGCUCCUUUGACGUUAGCGGCGGACGGGUGAGUAACACGUAGGUAACCUACCUAUAAGACUGGGAUAACUUCGGGAAACCGGAGCUAAUACCGGAUAAUAUUUCGAACCGCAUGGUUCGAUAGUGAAAGAUGGCUUUGCUAUCACUUAUAGAUGGACCUGCGCCGUAUUAGCUAGUUGGUAAGGUAACGGCUUACCAAGGCAACGAUACGUAGCCGACCUGAGAGGGGGAUCGGCCACACUGGACCUGAGACACGGGCCAAACCCCUAGGGGAGGCAGAAGGGGGGAAUUUUCCGCAAGGGGGGAAAGCCUGACGGAGCAACGCCGGGGGGGGGAUGAAGGGCUGCGGAUCGUAAAACUUUUUUAUUGGGGAAAAAAAAACGGGUAAGUAACUGUGCCAGUCUUGACGGUACCUAAUCAAAAAGCCCCGGCUAACUACGU
rnacentral:rRNA from 1 species